GCUUACGGCCAUACCAACCUGGCUAUGCCCGAUCUUGUCUGAUCUCGGAAGCUAAGCAGGUUUGGGCUUGGUUAGUACUUGGAUGGGAGACCACCUGGGAAUACCAGGUGCUGUAAGCU
rnacentral:rRNA from 1 species